UAGAAAGUGAAAUGUCAAUUAUUUUCUAUUCUAUUAUGUGACCGAAACUUCAAUCUUUAUUUGCAGCAUGAUUAGUUUCUUCACUAUUUCUCCACAAAAAUCCUUUGCAAAUUGUAGUAUGAGAUAGAAAGUCCUUUUCAAGAUUUGCUGAACCAAUAUCGGAGGUUGUACCAAUCGGCAAUCCGUUCAGUGUGGUUCGUACCAAAUUGUACCGAGCUAAGGCAUACUGGACCUAGGGGAGGGAGAGGGAAGAGAGGGAGGAAGAAAAUAAAGUGGGAGAGAGGGGGGAGGCAUACCUCGUUGGAAGCAACAACAGAGCACUAACCCUAGCCAUAGAGUCAUCAUCUUCAUGGAACCUUAUCCCUAGCCAGUGUAAUUGCCACGGAGCCAUUAUCAUUGCAAAGCCGUCUUCGCAGAGUCAUCAUUGUCAUGGAGCAUUGAGAGAGAGGGCAGAGGGGAGUAGAAGAUCAGGAGAGGAGCAUCGAGAAAGAGGGAGAGUAGAAUUGAGAGACUGGAAGAAGAGAAUCGAGAGAGAGAGAGAGAGAGAGAGAGAGACCUUGUGGGUAUUGGCAAUGGAAUCCUAACUCUAUCCAUUGUGGUUGUUGUAUAGCUGUUGUUAUCUUGUUGACAUAGAGCUAUAAUUGACCUGGUGUUGUCGUCAUCAUGGAGCAUUAAGAGAGAGGGGAGAGGGAAAAGGAAGAGCAGGAGAGGAGAAUCGAGUAAGGGAGAGAGGGAGAGGAGAAUCGAGUAAGAUCGUCAAAG
rnacentral:lncRNA from 1 species